GUAGAAGUUCCAGCACUAGGGCAGGUAAGAAGAUGACAGAAUAAAAUCUAAGAGGUGUAGGGUCGAAUGAUUGUGGCUUUGUUGUUUUUUCUUUUUAAAGCAGGUCACAUCUAAACAACAGAAAACUUAGCUGUUCAUCUUCUCUGAGCCGCAUACCACUAUCCAGAAUUACUGGACUUGAUAUACCUCAGGGUGCUGGGGUGGGAAUGGGGAGGGUGGUAGUAGUUGAUGAUAAUCACCAUCCUCAGUGGAGAAUGCCUUGAAUAGUCUUACAGUACAACCUCAGCAUCUAGUAAAUGCUUUCAUACACUUUUUUUUUUUUAAUGUGUUUUGGACAAUUCUAACUUUUGAAAAGAGUUGAGCAGAGGACCCUAACAGUUACUUUACUAGUACUGACAGAGGACAACUGAAGUACUACAGCAUAGGGCCAAACCAGAAAAAAAAUUAGGAAACAAAAAAUUGUCCAUUAAGUAGCCCCCUGCAAUAAAGAAGGUGUAUCCCAUGCAGAAUGGUAUACCUGUUUUAGUAUCAUCUUCGCCGCCUUCCUCAUUCUCAAACUUUAUUUUCUUGCCCUGAAACUGUACCUUCCCUUUGUGUGCACCUUGAGCCAUCUUCCCCCCUCUUCCUUUAAGUUUGCGUCCUGUUGGGAUAAGAUGACAGGAACUUGGUAUCAUGUCUUUUAAUUGACAAGCUGAAAAUAAUGCUUUACAGUUAGUGAUGAUUUUGUGAAAACAAAAUUGUGAAUACAUAACACCACUCCUAGAACAUUGUAAAUGCUUCAACAAGUCAGAGAGGACCUUUUCCUUUCUGUUUCAGCAAUUCCUGCUGAUCUUCUAGUAUUUUUUUCAGAGCUUCUUUCUCUGCAUCUCCUUCUAGCAAUUCCCAAGUAACAUCUUUGUUCCGAAGCUGUAAGUUUCCAUUAUGUGCUUCCUUAGCUUUUUCCAGAGCUUCUUUUGCAGCAUCCUUAAAUAGGAUGAUUCCCUUAAAAAGAAAAAAUGGUAUUUGCAUCUGAAUCUUAUCAUGAAAACGCUCAACUCGAAUGAUGAACACAUCCUGCUAGGUACCUCAGCAAGUUCAGUGUUUGCAUGGCGUGAAAAUCUAGACUGAAGCAAAACCCUCAAGCUGUUACAGCAAACACUCUCAGUCCCAGGUUUCAACUCAUCAGCUGGGGAGGCUGGAAUCUCUACUCAUGCUUUUGAAAGAAUUUAAGCAAAUGAUUUUAUUCUCUUAAGUAUUCUGCACUUGCACAAAUCAAAGAGAAAAGAAUGAAUCAUUACCUCCAUAUGCUUUUAUAUUAAGUAAUUCUGUUUCAAACUAAUAAGAAGAUCUUAACUCCGUGUCCAAAGUUAUACUGACCUCCUUUGCACCUCUUACAAAGUGGAUCCAUUUGAUUUCUCCGUGAUCAGAAAAUACCACAUGGAGAUCUUCUCUGCAUGUUUGAUCAUCUAGAUCACCAGAAAACUUCAAAAGACAUCCUGUCUUUUCUUCUAGAGAUUUCUAAAAAAAAAAAAAAGUUUUUUUUAUUGAAAAGCCAAGCUUUGGAUAUUCUUUUCCAUCCCUCUAUCGUAAUAUUAAAACAUGCUAACAAUAAAUAAGCAACCGAAGUCAGCCUUCUUCAUACCACUAGUAAGCAAAGCAUCCUUGCUACAUAUUUAUGCUGAUGUACAAGUCUUACACAGUUCCACUCAGACUUUUUAAAAAACACUUUUCCUUUCUUUGCUCACUGAUCCCUUUAUGUGUAAGCUGGGAAUCCUUUCCCUAAAAUAUUUAUGCUCUUGAAAUUUUAAAACAGUUCUGAGGGCUGAACUCAGGUUGAAAAUGUUCAUAACACAGAUUACAUCCCUACGAGAGCUUCUAAGUAGGAGAAGAAAAUGGAGGAAAAUGAUCAUCUAAUUGAUGCAUUUAGGAUCCUGUCUGAGCAGGUAAACAUACCUACUAAUUCAAAUCCAGUAUAUGAUCCUUUAAGCAAAAUCAGUCUCUUGAAAAUGAGAUGCAAUACCAUGACAAAAGGAGGUCUUACUGUAGGUUAAUUGUGAAAGUCGUUCCAGCUUUUAAGAAAGUGAUCUAUUAUAGAAUUUAAAGGUGUGAAUAUCCCCCACCUUAGCUUUACAACAUGCAGCUGCAACAGGAUUGUUGUUGAAAAUCCAUGAAAAAAGUUUUCAAGUACAGAAAGAUAAGAAAUUCAUACCAUCUCAGCAUCUGCUGCUUGUUUCUGUUUUUCUUCUUUUUCCUGUUUAGCUCUUGCUUUGGCCUCUACUUUGUUUUGUUUCCUUUCUUCAUUCUUCUUUGUACAAUACUCUUCCUUGAAAAGCACUAUCAGCUCCGUGUCUUUGUACUUUUGGUUUGGGAUUUCUGUGAACUUCUUGGCAGAUUCAACACUAUCAAAAACCGCAAAUAUUGACCCCUUAAAUGUUUUCUGCAGCGUUCUCCUCAUUUGAAUGUUUUCAACAGGACCUUUAUCCUCCAGCCAUUCUUUGAUAUCAUCGAGAGUUGCAUCCAAUGGAAAGCCUUUAACAUACACAGAUCUGUUUUUAAUUGCAGCCUUGUACUGGUCAUUUAGUUCAGGAAGGGGUUUAUUUGGAGAUCUUCUGAUUUUAGUUUUGUCUUCAUUUAUUUCCAUUAGACCGGUCUUAGAUUUUCUUAGUGCUUCUACUAUAACACCAAAAUCUUUUGAAAGGCGACUUAACCUGUUGAAUUUGAUCAUUACUUCCAAAGGCACCCAACCAUCAUCUAAUUUGAUCUGCUCCUUCAGGAACUUGUCUCUUGGUAGGUUGUGAUUGCCAAAAUAGUACUGCAAAAAAAAGAAAGAUUUGUU
rnacentral:lncRNA from 1 species